rnacentral:sRNA from 1 species
UUGACUUGGUAAUGAGAAUCGAUAUGAUUAUCACAACUGGUCGCGAGACUGGUCGAUAUUCUGGAAAGCCCUUGGUUCGGACUCUCAGAUUAUCUCCUCAUCAGGCUAAUCACGGUUAUUUGACCCGGCUCUUGCCGGGUCUUUUUUUG